GAUGAGUUUUAAAAUAUCUAUCUAAGUUUUAACAUGAGUCAGGGUUUUUAACUUUCUGACCCUAAACGCAUCACACUUCAUGGGUAGGGGAUAUCAGUUGUGAAUCCCCCUUCUUGAAUUCAAGUUUCUAACCCUAAAUCAUCGUCAUUGUCAAUUCCAAACCCCAUCAUCACAUGGAUUCGUCGAAGCGAAGAUUCUCAUACGGCAUCUGGUGAUUAGAUGAUAUAUUGCUGCUAUUUUCCUAGAAACUGUCAAAGUUCACAAAAGUUAGAACUGGUUGUUUUCUUUCCAGGUCAAGCUUAGCAAGCAUACAAAGCGUUUCUAUGCAUAUUUUCUUUGAGUUAUAACAAAAAUCAGAACCCAUAUGUGCAAUGAAUCUACUGAGUACCGAUUGAACCAUUAAUUGCAGUUUUUUUGGGUCUGAAUCUUGAAUUAUAAAGAGUCAUUUUUAUAUUUGUAUGUAGCUUUUAAUUUACCUUGUUUUAGUCUAUCCCAUUCUGCUGUAA